AUUGAACGCUGGCGGCAGGCUUAACACAUGCAAGUCGAGCGAGCGGCGGACGGGUGAGUAAUGUCUGGGAAACUGCCUGCUGGAGGGGGAUAACUACUGGAAACGGUAGCUAAUACCGCAUACCAUCAGAUGUGCCCAGAUGGGCUUAGCUAGUAGGUGGGGUAAUGGCUCACCUAGGCGACGAUCCCUAGCUGGUCUGGGAGGAUGACAAGCCACACUGGAACGGGGACAGCGUCAAGAGGCCUACGGGAGGCAGCAGUGGGGAAUAUUGCACAAUGGGCGCAAGCCUGAUGCAGCCAGGCCGCGUGUGUGAAGAAGGCCUUCGGUGUGUAAAGCACUUUCAGCGAGGAGGCGUUACUCGCAGAAGAAGCACCGGCUAACUCCGUGCCAGCAGCCGCGGUAAUAC
rnacentral:rRNA from 1 species